rnacentral:rRNA from 1 species
UCGAGAAUCUUCCGCAAUGGACGAAAGUCUGACGGAGCGACGCCGCGUGAUUGAUGAAGCUUUUCGGAGUGUAAAGAUCUUUUAUGAGGGAAGAAGUUUAUUGACGGUACCUCAUGAAUAAGGGGCUCCUAAUCUCGUGCCAGCAGGAGCGGUAAUACGAGAGCCCCGAGCGUUAUCCGGAAUUAUUGGGCGUAAAGGGUGCGUAGGUGGCAGUGUUAGUCGUUUGUUAAAUCCUUAGGCUUAACCUAAGAAUCGCGAACGAAACGGCACAGCUAGAGAGUGUGAGGGGUAUAGGGAACUAAUAGUGUAGGGGUGAAAUCCGUUGAUAUUAUUGGGAACACCAAAAGCGAAGGCACUAUACUGGCACAUAUCUGACACUCAAGCACGAAAGCGUGGGUAGCGAAUGGG